rnacentral:rRNA from 1 species
AGAGUUUGAUCCUGGCUCAGAACGAACGCUGGCGGCGUGCUUAACACAUGCAAGUCGCGUGCGCAGUUGCCGUAGCAAUACGGUGAUGGGCGCACGGCGCACGGGUGUGUAACACGUGGGCAAUCUGCCCUUUGAUGGGGAAUAACCCGCCGAAAGGCGGGCUAAUUCCGCAUAAGAUUCCCGGGACUUCGGUUCCGGGAUUGAAAGCAGCAAUGCGUCGAAGGAGGAGCCCGCGCCCGAUUAGCUAGUUGGUGAGGUAACGGCUCACCAAGGCUAUGAUCGGUAGCUGGUCUGAGAGGAUGAUCAGCCACACUGGAACUGAGACACGGUCCAGACUCCUACGGGAGGCAGCAGUGGGGAAUCUUGCACAAUGGGCGAAAGCCUGAUGCAGCGACGCCGCGUGGGGGAUGAAGCAUUUCGGUGUGUAAACCCCUUUCGACUGGGACGAAUGCCUCGCAAGAGGAGUGACGGUACCAGUAGAAGAAGCCCCGGCUAACUACGUGCCAGCAGCCGCGGUAAGACGUAGGGGGCCAGCGUUGUUCGGAAUUACUGGGUAAAGGGUUCGUAGGCGGUGCGGCAAGUUGGGAGUGAAAUCUUUGGGCUUAACCCAGAGGCUGCUUCCAAAACUGCUGUGCUCGAGUGUGAGAGAGGCGCGUGGAAUUGCAGGUAGCGGUGAAAUGCGUAGAUAUCUGCAGGAACACCCGUGGCGAAAGCGGCGCGCUGGAUCACUACUGACGCUGAGGAACGAAAGCUAGGGGAGCAAACAGGAUUAGAUACCCUAGUAGUCC